CAGUAGCCGCGGGAAUACAAAGGGUGCGAGCGUUAAUCGGAUUUACUGGGCGUAAAGCGUGCGUAGGCGGCUAAUUGAGUCGGAUGUGAAAUCCCCGAGCUUAACUUGGGAAUUGCAUUCGAUACUGGUUAGCUAGAGUGUGGGAGAGGAUGGUAGAAUUCCAGGUGUAGCGGUGAAAUGCGUAGAGAUCUGGAGGAAUACCGAUGGCGAAGGCAGCCAUCUGGCCUAACACUGACGCUGAGGUACGAAAGCAUGGGGAGCAAACAGGAUUAGAUACCCCAGUAGUCCCUGUCUCUUAUAC
rnacentral:rRNA from 1 species